rnacentral:rRNA from 1 species
AGUGAACGCUGGCGGUAGGCCUAACACAUGCAAGUCGAACGGCAGCACAGUACUAGCUUGCUCUUACGGGUGGCGAGUGGCGGACGGGUGGGGAGUACAUCGGACUCUACUUUUUCGUGGGGGAUAACGUAUGGAUACUUACGCUAAUACCGCAUACGACCUACUGGUGAAAGCAGGGGAUCUUCGGACCUUGCGCGAUUGCAUGCGCCGAUGUCGGAUUUGCUAGUUGGCGGGGUAAAGGCCCACCAAGGCGACGAUCCGUAGAUGGUCUGAGAGGAUGAUAGGCGACAUUGGAAGUGAGACAGGGACAAGAGUACUAAGAGAGGCAGCAGUGGGGAAUAGGAGGCAAUGGGGGGAAGCAUGAUCCAGCCAGACCGAGUGGGUGAAGAAGACGUUCGGGUUGUAAAGACCGUUUGUGGGGAAAGAAAAGCAGUAGGUUAAUAAGAAGCGGUAGUGACGGUACCUAAAGAAUAAGCACCGGCUAACUUCGUG